rnacentral:rRNA from 1 species
CCUACGGGAGGCAGCAGUGGGGAAUAUUGCACAAUGGGGGAAACCCUGAUGCAGCGACGCCGCGUGAGGGAAGAAGGAAUUCGGUAUGUAAAGCUCUAUCUGCAGGGAAGUAAAUGACGGUACCUGAGUAAGAAGCCCGGGCUAACUACGUGACAGAAGCCGCGGUAAUAUGGCGGGGGCAAGCGUUAUCCGGAUUUACUGGGGGUAAAGGGAGCGUAGGCGGCAGUGUAAGUCUGGAGUGAAAGGCCGGGGCUCAACCCCGGGACUGCUGUGGAAACUGUCCGGCUGGAGUGCAGGAGAGGUAAGUGGAAUUCCUAGUGUAGCGGUGAAAUGCGUAGAUAUUAGGAGGAACACCAGUGGCGAAGGCGGCUUACUGGACUGUAACUGACGUUGAGGCUCGAAAGCGUGGGGAGCAAACAGGAUUAGAUACCCUAGUAGUC